GCCGUAGCCCGUGGACUGAAAAGAGAAGACGACUUGUUCCUUCCUCCUCGUCUCUCUCUCCAGUUCUCCUCUGUCUCAGGCGGCAGCGGUGGUCGGCGACGGCGGCUGCGUGCUUCUCUCUCACCACCUGGCGGAGGCGACCCCCUAGGUGGAGUGGAACGGCGCCCCCAGCUCGAAGACGACCCGGAGGUGACCUGCAGCGACCUCCCUCGACUACUCGUCUCCGCCGUCCCUCUCCUCCUCUCAACGGCCGCGUGAUCGGAGCGUAGCAGGGCGAGAGCAAGGAGGAGGAGGGAGUGACGGAAAAAGGGGGUGGAUGCUCCUGAACUAACUUCUGUUUUCUUUCCCAGUGGCAUCGAUCCUGGCUCGAUUUGUUGGAAUGUUGCGAUUUAUUAGUCGUCAGGGACCAGGAUUUUGCUUGGUUUCUCUGGAUGAUUGGUCCUGCUUGGUUUGGUUUCGGCACGUUCCCGGCGUCAUCAAACAACUAACAACAGCAAGCCAAGUAAUUUGGUGGUAACCUUGUAUGCUGCAUAGAUCAGGAGCUAAUAGUAUCCCAGCAAAUGCGGUUUUGUGCGUGACUGUAAUAUGCACUGUGUCUGCCCAUUCCUCUAUGUCACUCGUGUAAUGAUGUAUGUGUAUCCGCUUUGCCGGACGGGACGUCAAAUCGCCCUUGCUGUAAAGAAAAGUAGUGACCUGUGCAACACAUGGCAAUGGACCUCUGAAUAGAUAUAUGUGAAUAAACAGUACUAGGACGAUUGGUUAUACUCCUUCCGAUUUUAAA